ACAAAAUUUAAAAACAUAGCCCAAACGUAACCAACAAACAGAGCUCUUAUCACUCUUUUGUUGAUAGCCUGAAACUGAGAAAUCUCACAGAGCGUGUGGAGAUCUCAUAGAGCUCGACGAUCAUGGAGAUCUCAUCGAGCUCGACGAUCAUCGAUUAGGUACGAUCGCACAGCUCCGAUUAGGUACGAUCUCGGUUUUGUGACUCUUCCUCUCUCUUGGCGCUGUGUUUCUCAGCUCCGGUUAGGCUAUUCGGACGCUGAUCUCAAAGGGUGCUAGAUUUGGUUCCAAUCCUGUUCUUUCAACCUGCCUCUGCAUUUUCUUCCCAAACGUGAUUUUAAAUAUAGCAAAAAGGUCUUUCCGAUUUUCCUCUGCCUCGCUCAGAUCCAUAUCCAUAUCCAAAAAAGAAAAAAGGCUUUUCCACUGGAUUUAGUACUCUUUUCCGGUUGAGGACAACUUAAGGUGUGUCCCUCAUUGAAGAUUUUAAAAAAAAAUUAAUCCAACUUUAGAUGGAACGGAAUUGGGUAAAGCUCAGGAAUAGAGCUCUUCUUGAGUAUAGACUAGGAAUUAAAGACUUCCUUGAUUUUGCGUUUGAGCAUACAACAAUGGGGGAUAAAAUUUAGUGUCCGUGUAAGAAAUGCAAUAACUACUUUGCAAAGACUAGAGAUGAUGUUGAGGCUGAUUUGCUUACUAUUGGUAUUCUCCCAAGUUAUACUCAUUGGUUUAGACAUGGUGAGGAGAGACAUUUUCAAACAUGUGAUAGUUUGGAUAGUGAUGAUGAGUCAGACGGGGAUGGCUUGAGUGAGAUGGUGGAAGAUUAUUGUGCAGCCUUUAAUGCAGCCAGUUGUGCAGCUGGAGAUUCGAGUGGUGACAGUACUCCUGAAGAGCCUAAUGAUGAUGCAGCUAACUUUUUUCUGAAACUAGGAGAUAAUGAGCAGAAACUUUUUCUAGAUUGCAAGUAUACAAAACUGUCUUUCAUUGUGAAGUUACUUCAUAUUAAAUGCCUUAGUGGUUGGACAAACAAAUCGUUUACUCUGUUGCUUCAAUUGUUGAAUGAUGCGCUUUCUAAAGUUAUUGUAGAGUUGCCAGAUUCAUUAUGAACAGAAACGCUUAGAAUCUGAACAAAAACGAAUAGAGGCUGAUGUAGAGUUGAAAGAAGAAGUAAAGCACCUCAAAAGCAUGCUCGAACAACAAGCUAUUCAAAUGGCAGCACAAAGAGCACAUUAUGACAAUAUGAUGAUGCAAAUGUUGAGUUGUAUCACCUCGCAAUCAGCCCAAUCUAGUAGUGAUCGCUAAGGUGGCUUUGCUGUUAAUUUGGGUUGCUGAUAUAAGGAAACAUGUGAAGAAUUUAGAAUUUGGGAAGGGUCAUGUAUAUAAAGCUGUGCAUGUAACCGAUUUUUAUUUCCUUUCAUCAACUUUGGCCUUAUAUAGGAUGUAUUAGGGUUUGUUCUGUUCACCUACUACCAUGAUAGAUUGUGCAAAGAACCUUGUUUUUACAAUUUAAAACUCUUGCCCCUGUUGACUAUUGAAUUAGAUCAUAUAAAUAUUGAUCGGGUUAAUUUGACUUUUGGUAUCAUAUAAAUUCAUACAAUUAUGAAUU